AAGAGGACGAAUGAGGGGUUACUGACAGGAACAUGCAUGGCUCAAAGGCAGCAGCCAUCAUGGGAGAGUCCACCCCAGCAUGGAUGAUGACUUAUAAAAACUACUCCUGGAUCUUCCUGCUGUGUGACAUCAGCUGAGAGGAGCCAGCAGUCUUGAUUUGGAGUUUGGAAACUUGAGGAACAUGGAAAGUCUACCAGAGGCCCCCAGACCAGCUCGUGCCAGCUUGAUGACCUGUGGCUAAUGUUUGUAGGAGAGAGGCUGCAAUUACUCCCUUCAGCCCAAGAUCCUGGAAGGUGCCUGGAGGGAAGUCCAUGCUGAACACUGG
rnacentral:lncRNA from 1 species